rnacentral:rRNA from 1 species
UACGAAGGUGGCAAGCGUUGUUCGGAUUUACUGGGCGUACAGGGAGCGUAGGCGGUUGGGUAAGACCUCCGUGAAAUCUCCGGGCCCAACCCGGAAAGUGCGGAGGGGACUGCACGGCUAGAGGAUGGGAGAGGAGCGCGGAAUUCCCGGUGUAGCGGUGAAAUGCGUAGAGAUCGGGAGGAAGGCCGGUUGCGAAGGCGGCGCUCUGGAACAUUUCUGACGCUGAGGCUCGAAAGCGUGGGGAGCAAACAGG